AUUGAACGCUGGCGGCAGGCCUAACACAUGCAAGUCGAGCGGAUGAAGGGAGCUUGCUCCUGGAUUCAGCGGCGGACGGGUGAGUAAUGCCUAGGAAUCUGCCUGGUAGUGGGGGAUAACGUCCGGAAACGGGCGCUAAUACCGCAUACGUCCUGAGGGAGAAAGUGGGGGAUCUUCGGACCUCACGCUAUCAGAUGAGCCUAGGUCGGAUUAGCUAGUUGGUGGGGUAAAGGCCUACCGAGGCGACGAUCCGUAACUGGUCUGAGGGGAUGAUCAGUCACACUGGAACUGAGACACGGUCCAGACUCCUACGGGAGGCAGCAGUGGGGAAUAUUGGACAAUGGGCGAAAGCCUGAUCCAGCCAUGCCGCGUGUGUGAAGAAGGUCUUCGGAUUGUAAAGCACUUUAAGUUGGGAGGAAGGGCAGUAAGUUAAUACCUUGCUGUUUUGACGUUACCAACAGAAUAAGCACCGGCUAACUUCGUG
rnacentral:rRNA from 1 species